rnacentral:rRNA from 1 species
UACGUAGGGGGCAAGCGUUGUCCGGAAUCAUUGGGCGUAAAGCGCGCGUAGGCGGCCCGGUAAGUCCGCUGUGAAAGUCAAGGGCUCAACCUUUGAAUGUCAGCGGAUACUGCCGGGCUAGAGUCCGGAAGAGGCGAGUGGAACUCCUGGUGUAGCGGUGGAAUGCGCAGAUAUCAGGAAGAACACCAACGGCGAAGGCAGCUCGCUGGGACGGAACUGACGCUGAGGCGCGAAAGCGUGGGUAGCAAACAGG